rnacentral:rRNA from 1 species
GUAACAGGUCUUCGGAUGCUGACGAGUGGCGAACGGGUGAGUAAUACAUCGGAACGUGCCCGAGAGUGGGGGAUAACGAAGCGAAAGCUUUGCUAAUACCGCAUACGAUCUCAGGAUGAAAGCAGGGGACCGCAAUGCCUUGCGCUCACGGAGCGGCCGAUGGCAGAUUAGGUAGUUGGUGGGAUAAAAGCUUACCAAGCCGACGAUCUGUAGCUGGUCUGAGAGGACGACCAGCCACACUGGGACUGAGACACGGCCCAGACUCCUACGGGAGGCAGCAGUGGGGAAUUUUGGACAAUGGGCCGCAAGCCUGAUCCAGCCAUGCCGCGUGCAGGAUGAAGGCCUUCGGGUUUGUAAACUGCUUUUGUACGGAACGAAAAGACUCUGGUUAAUACCUGGGGUCCAUGACGGUACCGUAAGAAUAAGCACCGGCUAACUACGUGCCAGCAGCCGCGGUAAUACGUAGGGUGCGAGCGUUAAUCGGAAUUACUGGGCGUAAAGCGUGCGCAGGCGGUUAUGUAAGACAGAUGUGAAGUCCCCCGGGCUCAACCUGGGAACUGCAUUUGUGACUGCAUAGCUAGAGUACGGCAGAGGGGGAUGGAAUUCCGCGUGUAGCAGUGAAAUGCGUAGAUAUGCGGA